UAGGUGGGAUCCUGUUCAUAUGGACCAACAGCAACGAGCGAGGCAGGACCUCCUGGAGGCGGCCAUCUGGGUGCUGUACUACUCCCCCCCCCCCCCCCAACUGGUCUCACACUGGAAGGUUCGGGUGUCCACCGUCAGAGGACAGAAGGCAGAGAGGACUUCUGGGUACUGAACACCUAUAACAUGGUGGGAAGACAUGCCCUGUCACCAGACAUCCGCGACAGCAGUCUUUCAUAUAUUUUUUGUCGCUCCCUCUCCCAUUUUUUUAAUGGGAGGGGGACUGCAAGGGGUCAGGGAAUCCUGCACACACACACAGUUAAACUUCCAGAGACGAAGCUGGAACUGUAUACCAAAAGUGAGGUAAAACACACUGAAAUGCUUUGUCUAAUUAUCCCUUCUAUAACCAGGCCAGAAAAUGGGCCUAGUUUCCUGUAUGGUAAAAUAUUACAAUUUAAAGUAGCUCA